ensembl:lncRNA
CACCAGGCUUCCCUGUCCUUCACCACCUCUGGAGUUUGCUCAGACUCACGUCCACUGAGUCAGUGAUGCCAUCCAACCAUAUGUAGCAUUGUUUAAAUGAUGAAAUGAGCUAAUCCAUGAGACAUUUCUAGAUUACUGUGCAUCAGGCAAUAAGCAUUCAGUAAACGGCAGCUAUUAUCAGAUAUUACGGUGAUGGUGAUUCAGUACCAACAAGCUCUUAGAAGCUUACAUGGAAGGCGCGCGGGAGACUGGCCAAUGCCGCCAGCUUUGAAUUAGCCUUGAGCAUCCACCCAGCUGGUCUUUCCAUGGCAAGCCUUAGGGAUGGAGAAGAGAGAUGAGUACUCUGUGCUCACGAGGCCUUCAGUCCUGAAACACAACACACCAAACAGAUCCAGAGAGAAAACUGAGGCUCAGACCCCGUGACUGGAAGAGGCCUCAGAGAUAAGUGGAGGCAAGGCAGAGAGAAGGGGUGUCCAGCCCAGGGACCUGCCACCCUAUCUCUUGGGGUCCUGAGGCCACAUGGCUGCAUGGGCACAAGAUAGCUUGGUGACUUUGGUCUAAAUUAAAUGCCACCAAACAUUUGUGUUAUAGAGAAUUUUUAGUAGUUUUGGCCUCUCACCCACCCUUGUGAACAGGUGUGCAAGGGGACCAGUACAAACAGGAAGGGUGAGAGGAUUGGAUGGGAGGUGUCAGAGGGAGGCGAGAACGCAGCCUGGGAUGCUGGAGAGACGGAGGAGGCUGUCAGGCUACAGUCCAUGGGGUCAGAAAGUGUCAGACACAUCUGAGCAACUAAGCACACACACACAUGCUUAGCAUAAAAAUUCAAAUACGAAAUUCUUUCCUUUAAUUCUAAUCCAGAUGACCCCGGGCGUAAGUGUGGACAUUUACUUCUCUAUGCUUCCUUCUAAGCACAUUCAAAGUGAAAGUGAAGUUGCUCAGCUGUGUCCGACUCUGCAACCCCAUGGAUUAUAGCCCGCCAGGCUCCUCCGUCCACAGGAUAUUCCAG